UACGUAGGGGGCUAGCGUUGUUCGGAUUUACUGGGCGUAAAGCGCACGUAGGCGGAUCGUUAAGUCGGGGGUGAAAUCCUGGAGCUCAACUCCAGAACUGCCUUCGAUACUGGCGAUCUUGAGUCCGGAAGAGGUGAGUGGAACUCCUAGUGUAGAGGUGGAAUUCGUAGAUAUUAGGAAGAACACCAGUGGCGAAGGCGGCUCACUGGUCCGGUACUGACGCUGAGGUGCGAAAGCGUGGGGGAGCAAACAGG
rnacentral:rRNA from 1 species